AAAAGCAUACAAAUUAUAGAAGAAGAAGAUUUUUGACUACAGUUGACUUUUGGGUCAAUUAGUUGACCAAAGUCAACUAACCACUUUUCAGGACCUAAAUCCUAGUACUCAUUACAUGUCACUCUUGCAUAAGGAUCCAUGGUCAUUUGCUCCAUAAAUAAGAAACUAUUUUUUUCAUCCAAUUAGUAGGACCAGUGCCUUGGACUUUGCCUUGAAUUUGAACACUUUGUCAGCCUAGAAUUGCCUUGAAACAAUGUCCAAUCCAUAAGUCUAUAACCUGCAAUGAAUCAAAAGGAGGCAGACAAUUUAAAACAUCCACCAAGUACAAUGGCAAGCACUAAAUACAAUCAAAACUAGCAGCUCAUGCUCCUAAAUGGCAUCGUUUUGCAAGUGACAUCAUCUUGUCCUAAACAACUAUUUCUUGCAGGGAAAUCAUCCUGUAGUAAGUGUACACAUAGCCAACCAAAAAUCAAUAUGAAACCCAACCAAACAUACAUCAAGCAGACAUACAUGAUCUUCAUUCACAUGUGAUCACAGCUUGUGCAACUUAUUCUAACAAGCAUGCAUUCAUAGCUCAAACUAACCAUUCACUUGGCACCUUAAGCCUACAAACUAACAAAUCAUUAAAACAUAACAGAGUCAGACACUAUACAAAAAACUGACUGUAUCAUAUCCUUCAACAAAUCAUGCCUCAUAUUAGGGCUGCGCACAUUUGCACUAACAUUAACAACAAAAAAUUCAAUGCAUCACACCAGCUCAUGAUGUAAUACUUUCAAGCCAAUAUAUCGAUGGCAGAACAAAAUCCUUGACAUAAAAGCGCAUAACCACUACUGGAUUUUAACAUCACAACAAAGGCUAAUAGUUGUGGCCGUGCCACCAACAAAAUAAUUGAUAAAUUCUCACGAACAAUUUUUAAACUAAAUGAACCAACUAUACCAAACCAGUUCACUAACUCAUAAAACCAGUUUCAGUAAAUGAUUUUUUAACAGGUUAUUAACAGUAGCUCAUUAACAUAAGGCAAUGAAUAAUUUAAAUCACAAAUCCAACGGACAAAUAACUAACUCCUAAGAUAAACUCAAUCUGCAGAAAAUGACAGCUUAUUAACUCAUGCGAAAUUAUGCUAGACCAGGGAAAUUAACUCCAAAUGCACUUUUCAAAUUAACUUCAAAUUCACCUCAAAUCCCAACUAAUUUCUAAAUUUUCUAACUGACUGAAUAUCAAUUGGAUUUCGUUUUAAUUGGACAAAAUUUGAUAACAGAAAGGGAAAACUAUAAAGGAGGGACUCACUGUGAUUGAAGACAGGUUUUUUCCCGGCAAGCUGAACGAUAACCCUGCAACUGCAAUCUCUACACAAAUCUCCAAUCCUCUACAAAGCCGAUCUUCCAUUUGCAAUUUCCUCACUUCAUCUUCACACUGCUUCAUCGGCUUCAAUCUGCAGAUUCAUCACUCUGCAAGUCCAGCUUACAAUCCCUCCAGCAACGAAAACACAAUCAUUCUCAGAGCAUCAAAACAGAAGCAACAACGCCACGCAUCAAGACACAAAGCAACAAACUCAUUCACAGCAUAAGAAGUGCACGAAGAGUAGAUACCUAAACCGUGAGUCUUUGAUUUCUUCAAAUCUGCAUUUUUGUUUCGGUUUUCGUGUUGUUAGGUUGCGAAUUCUUGUUUUGAUGUCGAUCUCACGAAACUUCGAUUCGAUGAGCUGUUUCGAAAUUAAGAACCUUGGAUAUGCGGUUGUCGAUGGAUGCGGUUAAGAUUGAAAAUGCGAUGUUGAACGGACGCCGACGCCAACGCCACAUCAAAAUUGGAUAAACAUAUUGAUGAUCCAUUGAAUUCUAGAGAACACGAUGCUGAUGAAGGAUGGAUGCCGAGGAGCAUAAGCGUUUUUCUUGUGUAUCCUUCAGCCUUUUGAAAUGCACGUUCGAGUUUGUGGUUCAGUUGAAGAAUGUUUAUCCUGCAUUGUGAUGUGUUCAUCCAGAUCUGUGGAUUUUGGCCCGCGUGUGGUGGUUUGGUUUUGGGCUUCAUGACCAAAGUGGGCCUUCCGUCUCACACAUCUCACCAAGAACACACCCCAUGGCCCAUAAUCAUAAUUCAUGUUCAUUAAUCUUCAAUUAACCUUUUAGAGUAAUUUUAAUUAAUGUAUUUUAUUGUAGUUUAAUUGAUGUAAUUGUAAUCUUGAUAGAAGUUUAGGAUUAAUUCUUUUUUGUUAAUUAGAACUAACAUAGUUCAUCAUUAGUUAGUUAGAUUAAUCUUUUGAUUGAUAGGUAGCUAGUGUUGAUUAUCUGAUUAGGAAAUUUAUGUUAAUCGUGUGAUUUUGAUCCUGAUUUUUAGAAUUGAUGUCCAUUAUUAAUCUUGCCAUUAGAUUUUGGUUAACUCAUUUGUUGAUUUAAUUCGUGAUUAGAUAACAUGGUUAAGUGUAGAUUUUCCAUAAUACAUUUUAGGUAAUUUUGACCAUUAGGAUUGUUAAUUCAUUUUGUGGAUAAUAAUCGUUUUAUCCUUAGGGGUUAUUUUGUUGUUUUAGCCAUAGAAGUACAUGCUCCCUAGAAUUAAUUUUGACUCAGAAUUUCAAAUAGUUUUAAAUCAAGUAUUUGACUAAACAAAUGCAUGUUCCCCUUAGGAAUAGCUGCUGGUAACAAUCUCAACCAAUAGAUUAGGUUAACUAGUUAUUUUCAAGCUAAUUCAAACCCUUGAUUCAAGUUGAUCAAAAGCAAUGUUGAUCAACUAAAUCCUUUGACCUUGUAUAAUCCCACAGUCUAUUCAAGUGAUCAAAAGAUCCUUGAUCACUUGAUAAGACUCUUUCUAUAAGUUAUGAGCUCGAAGCCUCAAGUCACACUCUCAAUCAGGCAUCCCAGUCAUAUCAAGCAGUGGAUCAUACAAGGUAACAUCAAAGGUGGUUCUUCAAGAGCUUGUUAUCAAUGUUAGAAUUGUAUGGCAUGAGCCUAAGCAAUAGAGAAUGAAAUGAGAGUGGAGAAUUUUCAUAACUUAUUCUGAAAUCUUUGGGUACGGGACGCGUGACUAGUUGCCAUCAGAUUCACCUCUAUUCAAGACUGUUAGCACAAUUCAAAUCAUAUGAUUGGCAAGUCUCUCCUUCAUAAAGCAAGCAGCGCAACAAGUAGAAGACUCUACCAAGAAACUAUCAAAUCAAUAAUUCAAGUUGCAUACCAUGAGCCUUAAGCAACAAAGAAUGACGAGAGUGGAGAAUUCUUAUCCUUGUCUAAGGUCUCCUUAGGUACGAGACGCUUGACCCAGUUGCUUAAGGUAUCCGUCUUUGUUCAUAGACUUAAUGCACACAAAUUGAAUGAUUGAAGGCAUUCGUCAUCACGGGGAGCAACAAAGAUUCUUCUCUAGCAACUGAAAGUUAGGAUAAGAGUUAUACGCCACGAGCCUUAAGUAGUAAAAAAUGAAUGAGAAUGGAGAUUGCCAUUACUCAUUUGAAUACUUUGGGUACGGGACGCAUGACCAGUUGCUUCAUCGUAUCACCUUUACUCCAUAGACUUUAGUGUGGUUCAUAUCCAAUGACUGCCAAGUCUUCUUCGUAUUUCUAUUAUCUAACAAUUCAUUUCUUCUGCCUCAAUGCAUCUUGUUGUCAGCCCUAGUGGGUUGAACUACGAAAGCUCUAAUUUUCUCAUUGCACAAUGAGAAUACGUAGGCAGGAGAAUUCAGAUUCUCCGUGAGCUACCUUAUUUAUUAAUCAUAAUCCUUCACUUUCAUUCGUUCAAUCAAUACCAUCUUUUUGAGAUCACAUAUAUUCUCCUUGAACUCCAUGUACACCCUUUUAGGAUGAUAUAACGGCAUUCCACCUUGUGAACCAAGAGUGUUUGGAUCGUACUCAAGCAUUAAUUCAUCUUUUUCGGCUAAGACGCAUGUUUACUCUUCGGUUCAAAUUCGUUCCCUUCAUGGAUCCAAGAUAUCGUUAUUCUUUGAUCUCGAACUGUUUGUUCCCCAUCAGUGAAUAACUGCUCCUUGUACUCAAGAAUCCUUUCUUUUAGGCCAGAUAUUACCUUUUAGGACGAUAUAACGGCAGUCCACCUUGUGAACCAAAGAGUUAUUUUGGAUCGUACCCAUACAUUUAAUUCCUUCUUUUUGGCUAAGACGCAUGUUUACUCUUUGCUUCAAAGUUCACUUUCCCUUUGUGGGUUGCCAGUGUUACCAUUCUGUUGGUACAAGUUAUACUUUUUGAUCACUUCCUCAAUCUUCGCUCUAUUUUCGUGGUUCCACGAACUACAAAUGCUCGGACUUCCUCAUUGCACAAUGAGAAUACCGUAGGCACGAGGGAUGUGAAUCCUUGGCCAGAAUAAUACUAAAUUUUAUUUUCCGCCUUGGGCACCACUCAUAUCUUUCAUGAUCCAUGACUACAUGCACAUUGAACCGCUCACCAGUGACAUGUUGUUUCUUUGAUAUCGAAAUACAAUUUCUUUGGAAUUCCAUAUAUACCCUUUAGGACGAUAUAACAGCAGUCCGCAUUUGUACCUAUAGUUGUAGCUCAUACCCAAGACAUUAAUUUCUUUUUUAGCCAAUAAGCAGUUUCCCUCUAUGUUACAAAUCUCAUUCUCAUAGGGAUUCUGAUAUAUCUUUACCUUUGGUUCCAAAUUACGACCUUUUAGUCACUUGUAUACCAAAUCCUUCAAUUUUGUGACUUUGGUUACUUUUCAUUUCGUUCAUCUCCAUGAUGCAUUCAUACUCUACUCUUCAUUCACUCCAUGUGAUAUACAUGUUAUCUUUGAGCCAAAUAUAUGACCUCUUUGAGCUCCAUUUGUGUCACCGUUGGAACCAGAGCUGUUGGCUCGUACCCAAAUAGUUAUUCUCCUUAUUUUGGUACCAUAGUGGAAACGCUCUGGCUAGUCCAUAUAUUUGGUCAACGCCACAUACUUCUUGGGUUCAGAUUUCACCCCUUUUGGAGUUCGAAUCAUAUUAUCCUUUGGUUCAAACCUGUUGAUCUAAGUGUUGGCAGCAAUUUUGGUAAAACAAAGAGUGUUCACAAGAUGUCAUGUGUGGAUGUCUUAACAUAAGAGUAUCUAUUACCUGCUGGAGUUAAAGAACAUGUGCAAGCAGGAUUGUUUCAGAAUGCCACCUUACAAUGCUAAGGCGUUGAUAUGGAAUGUACCUGCUGAGCUUAAUUGGAAGACAUGUUCAUGCGAUUGUUUCAGAUGACAUACACAAUGUCAUGGUACUGAUAUGGUGUACCUGCUAUAAAAAGGAAAUGGAUUAGCAGGAUUUUCCAGAUGUCAGACCCGAUGUCAUGAGACAUCCUGUACACAGAACAUUCAGUAUGAAUGUCUGGUUUUGUGAUUGCACAAUUAAUGGCAAUCAUUGGUUGAUGAAGAUAUGGCUAGCUGGCGCAUUCUUUCAGGGAUUCAACCAGAUUUGUUUAUUUUCCAAAGAGAUCUUACAGUGAUAUGAAAAUAUUUGGUUGGAAAAUAUAUUUAGGUUUUCAAGCUGUCCAAUGUUCUAUAAAAGGACCAGAAAACUGUUUGAACACACAACCAAGACUGGAGCAAAAUUUAAGAGAAAGCUAGGGUUUGUGUCUGUAGGUCAUUCAAGUCAUCAUUUGAUGAUUGAAUUGGACUGAUUGUGGUUGUAAGCCUCAAACAAUGGUAAAAAUUAGGGAGUGUGUGUUGGAGAGGUAAACCUCCCAACCGUGGAAGUUACCAGGUGUUUUCUCAGUGCUUGAAAGCAUGAGAUUAUUUGUAACUCAAAGCCUGUAGGCAAGAGUGGUUAUGUUCUUGAACGAAUUGUGAAGCAUGUUCAAGUUAUCUAAAGCAUUACAUUGGUAAUGUGUAGUGAGGAAUGGAAACUGAGGUUUCUAUCUAUAGUGCCUAGUUAUAGAUUGUAUUGGGUAGGAUUAAAUGAGGAGUUGUAAACGGGGGAGUUUAACUCUGAAUUAAUACUGCUAAAGUGGAUUUCUUCCUGGCUUGUGGAUGCCCCCAGAGUAGGUAAUGUUGUAUCGAACUAGUUAACAAUACUGGUGUUUUACCUUCUGCACACUUAUUUUGUCUGUUAUGAACUCAGUCUGUUUCUAGUCUGUUUAUGAAGAGAAUAACAAACUUGACACAUAGCCUGCAGUCUGAUUGCAAAACAGAAUGUUAUGACAUUCAUUAUUGACUGCUGUUGUAUAAACUGGUUGGUCUGUUACAGUUCAACCUUCUGUAAUGUUUGAAAACAGGUGCAUGUCAAAUCAAAAUGGAGACACAUUUGCUGAUAACUGGGCAGGAUUCAAUAAACAUAAGUGCUUAUAUUUGAUCUCUAUCUGUGUCUUUGCACUAUAUGUGACAAACUGAUGUUCGUCUUUCCAUGGUGGUAUAAGUACAGAUGUCUUGACAUCUGUGACAUAGUGCAUAUGAGUAUGGGUUUAAUUGUUAUAACUGUCUUUUGUAUAGUACAUGUUGAUCAGAUGUCAUGACUUAGUGUAGAACAUAUGAACUCUGAUUAUACAGAAUUUCAAUUGGUAUCAAAGCAGGCAUCCUUCUGUUUCUGGAUGAGAUCCAUGGGUGAUACUUUCUGGUAUCUUGCAAGGAGUUAUGUAGUUACUAAUGCUGGAACCUUUGGAAGGUCUAUUGAUCCCCUGAAUGGUCCCUUGAAGUAGGUGGUUGGACUAUUCAUUGACAGGAACUGUGUAUCUGUCUCUGGAGGUUGGCAAUUGGCCUUGUGAGGAACAGCUGUGCUAGUAUAUGAAACAUAUUCAAACUUGGUAUGUUCUUGUGAGGCUGAUCUGGUGAAGUGGCAUGGUCAUAAGUUGAGUUGUAGUAUGAUUCCGCUGCAUAAUAGCCUGGCAAAACUCAAACUAUGAGUAGUUUCCCCUCAUGUGAUGAAAGGCUGUGUAUUCAAGAUUUCAUCAUAAUCUACUGAAGAUGUCAAAGAUACUUGAGUCUCCUCAAGUCCACUCAUCAUGACGUUCUCGCUUCAGGAUGGUAAGAAUCACCUGAUCACUGAUUCUUUUACUCUCUAUGUAGUGUAAUAUGAAGACCUUGAAGACUUUCAAGGAGGGUUUUGUUCCAAGGAGGUGGAACAAUGUUCCAUGUUGAUGUUAGAACAUGUUGAUCAACAAGUAUGCAGCUACUGGUUGAAGAGGCAAAUGUGUUAGGUGCCAAACAAAGGUACUUUCGUUUGAACCUACUCCUGACCUGGAAGAGGAGACUUUGUGGUGCCUAAAGUUUGACAAGGUAGGGUCAACUGUAUCUAACAUCCAGGGAACUUGUCUUCCAACACAACAUAGUACUUCAGGGAACAACUAUCCAAUCCUGAUCAAUCUAUAGGAAUAAGACAGACAGCAGGAAAUUGCACCGUGUCACAUCUCAACCAGCUUCACUUCUAGAGAUCAGACGUCUAGAAGUGACCUUCUUGAGCACACAUACAGUUGACCCUACCCUUGUCAACUUAGCACACACAAAUGUCUCCUCUUCCAGGUCAGGAGUAGGUUCCAAACGAAAGUAUCCCUUUGUUUGGCACCUAAACACAUUUGCUCUUCAACCAGUAGCUGCAUACUUGUUGAUCAACAUGUUCUAACAUCACAUGGAACAUUAGUUCCACCUCCUUGGAACAAAAACCCUCCUUGAAAGUCUUCAAGGUCUUCAUAUACACUACCUAAGAGAGUAAAAGAAUCAGUGAUCAGGUGAUUCUUACCAUCCUGAAGCGAGAACGUCAUGAUGAGUGGACUUGAGGAGACUCAAGUAUCUUUGACAUCUUCAGUAGAUUAUGAUGAAAUCUUGAAUACAACAGCCUUUCAUCCACAUGAGGGGAAACUACAUCAUAGUUUGAGUUUUGCCAGGUAUUAUGCAGCGGAAAUCAUACUACAACUCAACUUAUGACCAUGCACUUCACCAGAUCAGCCUCCAAGAACAUACCAAGUUUGAAUAUGUUUCAAUACUAGCACAGCUGUUCCUCACAAAGGCCAAUUGCCAACCUCCAGAGACAGAUACACAGUUCCUGUCAUGAAUAGUCCAACCACCUACUUCAAGGGACCAUUCAGGGGAAUCAUAGAACCUUCCAAAGGUUCCAGCAUUAGUACUAACAUAACUCCUUGCAAGAUACCAGAAAGUAUCACCCAUGGAUCUCAUCCAGAAACAGAACAGGAUGCCUGCUUUGAUACCAAUUGAAAUUCUGGUAUAAUCAGAGUUCAUAUGUUCUACACUAAGUCAUGACAUCUGAUCCAACAUUGUUACUAAUACAACAAGACAGUUAUAACAAUUAAAACCCAGUACUCAUAUGCACUAUGUCACAGAUGUCAAGACAUCUGCUACUAUACCACCAUGGAAAGACGAACAUCCAGUUUUGUCCAUCUAGUGCAAAGACACAGUAGAGAUCAAAUAUAGCACUUAUGUUUAUUGAUCCUGCCCAGUUAUCAGCAUGAUGUCUCAACAUUGAUUUGAACAUCACCUGUUUCAACAUUACAGAAGGUUGAACUGUAACAGACCAACCAGUUUAUACAACAGCAGUCAAUAAUGAAUGUCAUAACAUUCUGUUUUGCAAUCAGACUGCAGGCUAUGUGUCAAGUUUGUUAUUCUCUUCAUAAACAGACUAGAAACAGACUGAGUUAUAACAGACAAAAUAAAGUGUGCAGAAGGUAAAAACACCAGUAAUUGUUAACCUAGUUCGAUACAACAUUACCUACUCUGGGGGCAUACCAAGCCAGGAAGAAGAUCCACUAUUAGCAGUAUUAAUUCAGAGUUAAACUCCCCCGUUUACAACUCCUCAUUUAAUCCCUACCCAAUACAAUCUAUAACUAGGCACUCAUAGAUAGAAACCUCCAGUUUCCAUUCCUAUCACUACAAUUACCAUGUAAUGCUUAGAUAACUUGAACAUGCUUCACAACUUCGUUCAAGAACAUAACCACUCUUGCCUACAGGCUUUGAGUUACAAAAUAAUCUUCAUGCUUUCAAGCACUGAGAAAACCUGGUAACCUUCCACGGUUGGGAGGUUUACCUCUCCACACACCCCUAAUUUUUCAUUGUUUGAGGCUUACAACCACAAUCAGUCCAUUCAAUCAUCAAUGAUGACUUGAAUGACCUACAGACACAAACCCUAGCUUUCUCUCUAAAUUUUGCUCAGUCUUUGUUGUGUGUUCAAACAGGUUUUCUGGUCCCUUUUAUAGGAACAUUGGACAGCUUGAAAACCUAAUAUUAUUUUCCAACCAAAUAUUUUCAUAUCAACUGUAAAGAUCUCUUUGGAAAAUAAACAAUCUGGUGAAAUCCCUGAAAGAAUGCGCCAGCUAGCCAUAUCUUCAUCAACCAAUGAUUGCCAUUAAUUGUGCAAUCACAAACACCAGACAUUCAUACUGAAUGUUCUGUGUACAGGAUGUCAUGACAUCGGUCUGACAUCUGGAAAAAUCCUGCAUAAUCCAAUUUCCUUUUAUAGCAGAGUACAACCAUAUCAGUACCAUGACAUUGUGUAUGUCAUCUGAAACAAUCCUGCAUGAACAUGUCUUCCAAUUAAGCUCCAGCGGUACAUCCAUAUCAACGCCCUUAGCAUUGUAAGUGGCAUUCUGAAACAUCCUGUUGCCAUGUUCUUUAACUCCAGCAGGUACAUAGGAUAUCUUAUGUUAAGACAUCACACAUGACAUCUUGUGAACACUCUUUGUUUUACCAAAAUUGCUGCCAACACUUAGAAUCAACAGGUUUGAACCAAAGGAUAAUAUGAUUCGAACUCCAAAAGGGGUGAAAUCUGAACCCAAGAGUAAAUGUGGCGUUGACCAAUAUAUGGACUAGCCAGAAGCGUUUUCCACCAUAUGGUAUACCCAAAAAUAAGGAGAAUUAACUAUUUGGGUACGAGCCCAACAGCUCCUGGUUCAACAGGUGACACAAAAUGGAGCUCAAAGAGGUCAUAUAUUUGGCUCAAAGAUAACAUGUAUAUCACAUGGAGUGAAUGAAGGUAGAGUAUGAAUGCAUCAUGGAGAUGAACGAAAUGAAAAGUAACCAAAGUCACAAAAUUGAAGGAUUUGGUAACAAGUGACUAAAAAGGUGUAAUUUGGAACCAAAGGUAAAGAUAUAUCAGAAUCCAUAUGAGAAAUGAGAUUUGUAACAUAGAGGGAAACUGCUUAUUGGCUAAAAAAAAGAAAUUAAAUGUUUGGGUAUGAGCUAAACAACUAUAGGUACAAAUGCGGAAUGCUGUUAUAUCGUCCUAAAAGGGUAUAUAUGGAAUUCCAAAGAAAUUGUAUUUCGAUAUCAAAGAAACAACAUGUCACUGGGGUGAGCGGUUCAAUGAUUGCAUGUAGGUCAUGGAUCAUGAAAGAUAUGAGUGGUGCCCUAAGGCGGAAUAAAUAAUUAGUAUUAUUCUGGCCAAGGAUUCACAUCCUCGUGCCUACGUAUUCUCAUUGUGCAAUGAGGAAGUCAGAGCAUUUGUAGUUCGUGGAACCACGAAAAUAGAGGAGAAAGAUUGAGGAAGUGAUAAAAAGUAUAACUUGUACCAACAGAAUGGUAACAUGGCAACCCACAAAGGGAAAGUGAACUUUGAAGCAAAGAGUAAACAUGCGUCUUAGCCAAAAAGAAGGAAUUAAAUGUAUGGGUACGAUCCAAAUAACUCUUGGUUCACAAGGUGGACUGCCGUUAUAUCGUCCUAAAAGGGUAUAUCUGGGGCCUAAAAGAAAGGAUUCUUGAGUACAAGGAGCAGUAUAUCACUGGAUGGGGAACAAACAGUUCGAGAUCAAAGAAUAACGAUAUCUUGGAUCCAUGAAGGGAAUCGAAUUUGAACCGAAGAGUAAACAUGCGUCUUAGCCGAAAAAGAAUGAAUUAAAUGCUUGAGUACGAUCCAAACAACUCUUGGUUCACAAGGUGGAAUGCCGUUAUAUCAUCCUAAAAGGGUGUACAUGGAGUUCAAGGAGAAAUAUAUGUGAUCUCAAAAAGAUGGUAUUGAUUGAACGAAUGAAAAGUGAAGGAUUAUGAUUAAUAAAUAAGGUAGCUCACGGAGAAUCUGAAUUCUCCUGCCUACGUAUUCUCAUUGUGCAAUGAGAAAAUUAGAGCUUUCGUAGUUCAACCCACUAGGGCUGACAACAAGAUGAUUGAGGCAGAAGAAAUGAUUGUUUGAUAAUAGAAUACGAAGAAGACUUGGCAGUCAUUGGAUAUGAACCACACUAAAGUCUAUGAGUAAAGGUGAAUACGAUGAGCAACUGGGUCAUGCGUCCCGUACCCAAAGAUAUUCAAAAUGAGUUAAUGGCAAUCUCCAUUCUCAUUCAUUUUUUACUACUUAAGGCUCGUGGCGUAUAACUCUUAUCCUAACUUUCAAGUUGCUAGAGAAGAAUCUUUGUUGCUCCCCGUGAUGACGAAUGCCUUAUCAAUCAUUCAAUUUGUGUUGCAUUAAAGUCUAUGAACAAAGACGGAUACCUUAAGCAACUGGGUCAAGCGUCCUGUACCUAAGGAGACCUUAGACAAGGAUAAGAAUUCUCCACUCUCGUCAUUCUUUGUUGCUUAAGGCUCAUGGUAUGCAACUUGAAUUAUGAUUGAUAGUUCUUGGUAGAGUCUUCUACUUGUUGCGCUGCUUGCUUUAUGAAGGGAGAGACUUGCCAAUCAUAUGAUUUGAAUUGUGCUAAAGUCUUGAAUAGAGGUGAAUAUGAUGAGCAACUAGUCACGCGUCCCGUACCCAAAGAUAUUCAGAAUAAGUUAAUGAAAUUCUCCACUCUCAUUCAUUCUCUAUUGCUUAAGGCUCAUGCCAUACAAUUCUAACAUUGAUUAACAAGCUCUUGAAGAACCACCUUUGAUGUACCUUGUAUGAUCCACUGCUUGAUAUGACUGGGAUGCCUUGAUUGAGAGUGUGACUUGAGGCUUCGAGCUCCAUAACUUAUAGAAAGAGUCUUAUCAAGUGAUCAAGGAUCUUUUGAUCACUUGAAUAGACUGUGGGAUUAUACAAGGUCAAAGGAUUUAGUUGAUCAACAUUGCUUUUGAUCAACUUGAAUCAAGGGUUUGAAUUAGCUUGAAAAUAACUAGUUAACCUAAUCUAUUGGUUAGAAUUGUUCACAAGCUAUUCCUAAGGGGAACAUGCAUUUGUUAGUCAAAUACUUGAUUUAAAACUAUUUGAAAUUCUGAGUCAAAAUUAAUUCUAAGGGAGCAUGUACUUCUAUGGCUAAAACAACAAAAUAAACCCCUAAGGAUAAAACGAUUAUUAUCCACAAAAUGAAUUAACAAUCCUAAUGGUCAAAAUUAACCUAAAAUGUAUUAUGGAAAAAUCUACACUUAACCAUGUUAAUCUAAUCACGAAUUAAAUCAACAAAAAUGAGUUAACCAAAAUCUAAUGGCAAGAUUAAUAAUGGAAUCAAUUCUAAAAAUCAGGAUCAAAAUCAACACGAUUAACAUAAUUUCCUAAUCAGACUAAAUCACACUAGCUAAACCUAAUCAAUCAAAAGAUUAAUCUAACUAACUAAUGAUGAAAACUAUGUUAGUUCCUAAUUAACCAAAAAACAAGAAUUAAUCCUAAUACUUCUAUCAAGAUUAACAAUUAACAUCAUAAUUAAAAAAACUACAAUUAAAAUACAUUAAUUAAGAAUUAAUCUAAAGGUUAAUUGAGAUUAAUGAACAUGAAUUAUGAGUUAAUGGGCCAUGGGGUGUGUUCUUGGUGAGAAUGUGUGAGACGGAGAGCCACUUUGGUCAUGAAGCCCAAAACCAAACCAGCCACACGCGGGCCAAAAUCCACAGAUCUGGGAUGAACACAUCACAAUGCAGGGAUAAACAUUCUUCAACAUGAACCACAAACUCGAACGUGCAUUUCAAAAGGCUGAGGAAUACACAAGAAAAAACGCUUAUGCUCCUCGGCAAUCCAUCCUUCAUCAGCAUCGUGUUCUCUAGAAUUCAAUGGAAUCAUCAAUAUGUUUAUCCCAAUAUUUGAUGUGGCGUUGGCGUCGGCGUCCGUUCAACAUCGCAUUUUCAAUCUUAACCGCAUCCAUGACAACCGCAUAUCCAAGGUUCUUAAUUUCGAAAACAGCUCAUCGAAUCGAAGUUUCGUGAGAUCGACAUCAAACAAAGAAUUCGCAACCCUAACAACACGAAACCGAAACAAAAAUGCAGAUUUGAAGAAAUCAAAGACUCACCGGUUUAGGUAUCUACUUCUUCGUGCACUUCUUAUGCUGUGAAUGAGUUUGUUGCUUUGUGUGCUUGAUGCGUGCGUUGUUGCUUCUGUUUUGAUGCUCUGAGAAUGAUUGUGUUUUCGUUGCAUGGAAGGGAUUGUAAGCUGGACUCGCAGAGUGAUGAAUCUGCAGAUUGAAGCCGAUGAAGCAGUGUGAAGAUGAAGUGAGGAAAUUGCAAAUGGAAGAUCGGCUUUGUAGAGGAUUGGAGAUUUGUGUAGAAGAUUGCAGUUGCAGGGUUAAGUUCAGCUUGCCGGGAAAAAACCUGUCUUCAAUCACAGUGAGUCCCUCCUUUAUAGCUUUUCCCCAUUUCUGUUAUCAAAUUUAUGUCCAAUUAAAACGAAAUUCCAAUUGAUAUUCAGUCAGUUAGAAAUUUAGAAAUUAGUUGGGAUUUGAGGUGAAUUUGAAGUUAAUUUGAAAAAGUGCAUUUGGAGUUAAUUUCACCUAGGUCUACAAUUAAUUUCGCCACUGAGUUAAUAAGCUGUCAUUUUCUGCAGAAUUGAGUUUUAUCUUAGGAGUUAGUUAUUUGUCCGUUGGAUUUGUGAUUUAAUUAUUCAUAUGCCUUAUGUUAAUGAGCUACUGUUAAUAACCUGUAAAAAAUCAAUUUACUGAACUGGUUUUAUGAGUUAGUGAACUGGUUGGUUAUAGUUGGUUCAUUUAGUUUAAAAAUUUGUUCGUGAGAAUUUAUCAAUUAUUUUAGUUGGUGGCACGGCCACAACUAUUAGCCUUGUUGGUGAUGUUAAAAUCCAGUAGUGGUUAUGACGCUUUUAUGUCAAGGAUUUUUGUUCUGCCAUCGAUAUAUUGGCUUGAAAGUAUUACAUCAUGAGCUGGUGUGAUGCAUUGAAUUUUUUGUUGUUAAAUGUUAGUGCAAAUAUGUGCAGCAGCCUAAUAUGAGGCAUGAUUUGUUGAAGGAUAUGAUACAGUCAGUUUUUGUAUAGAUGUACUGACUCUGUUAUGUUUUAAUGGAUUGUUAGUUUGUAGGCAUUAAGGUGCCAAGUGAAUGGUUAGUUUGAGCUAUGAAUGCAUGCUUGUUAGAAUUAAGUUGCACAAGCUGUGAAUCACAUGUGAAUGAAGAUCAUGUAUGUCUGCUUGAUGUAUGUUUGGUUGGGUUUUCAUAUUGAUUUUUGGUUGGCUAUGUGUACACUUACUACAGGAUGAUUGUUCCCUGCAAGAAAUAGUUGUUUAAGGACAAGAUGAUGUCACUUGCAAAACGAUGCAUUUAGGAGCAUGAGCUGCUAGUUUUGAUUGUAUUUAGUGCUUGCCAUUGUACUUGGUGGAUGUUUUAAAUUGUCUGCUCCUUUUGAUUCAUUGCAGGGUUAUAGACUUAUGGUAUUGGACAUUGUUUCAAGGCAAUUCUAAGGCAUGACAAAGUGUUCAAAUCAAGGCAAAGUCCAAGGCAUGGUCCAUACUAAAUUGGAUGAAAAAAAUAAGAUUUCUUAUUUAUGGAGCAAAUGACCAUGGAUCCUUAUGCAAGAGUGAACAUGUAAUGAGUACUAGGAUUUAGGUCCUGAAAAGUAGGUUAGUUGACUUUGGUCAACUAAUUGACCCAAAAGUCAACUGUAGGUCAAAAAUCUUCUUCUUCUAUAAUUUGUAUGCCU
rnacentral:lncRNA from 1 species